rnacentral:lncRNA from 1 species
AAGGAGUUCUGGACCUGGGAGGAGAUCAUGUCGGGGAAAGGACCCUGGCGGACGGACUCCCAGGUCGAGGAGGAAAAGCCAGCCGGUAGACGGAGUCGCAGGCGGCGGUCGAGGAGGCCCGGAAAACAGCCCCAAUAAAUUUUUUGGGGGGGGGCUAAUGGGGUGGUCCGGAAGGGCAGAGGAAGAGCCCAGACCACUGCUCUCGUGGGGGAUGACGGCGGAGGAAGAGAAGGAGAUGAGGCGUUUGAUUGAGGACCUGCAGAGGGAAGAUCUGGAGGAGGAGCCAUGGUAUGCUGAGUUGCGCGCUGUGUCGCCAGUGCGCCCGCACAGCCCGGUGCGUCCGGUGGACAUGCCCAGCACAUGCCGUGCUAGGAUGGGCAUCCAGCCAGGACGAGUGGCUAAACCGGCUCCACGCUUCAGGUCACCAGUGCGUGUUCACAGUCCUGUCUGGCCCGUCCCUGCUCCCCGCACCAGGUUAGUGGUGCGUGUCCCCAGUCCUGUCCGGCCCGUCCCUGCUCCCCGCACCAGGUUAGUGGUGCGUGUCCCCAGUCCUGUCCGGCCCGUCCCUGCUCCCCGCACCAGGUUAGUGGUGCGUGUCCCCAGUCCUGUCCGGCCCGUCCCUGCUCCCCGCACCAGGUCAGUGGUGCGUGUCCCCAGUCCUGUCUGGCCCGUCCCUGCUCCCCGCACCAAGUCAGUGGUGCGUGUCCCCAGUCCUGUCCGGCCCGUCCCUGCUCCCCGCACCAGGUUAGUGGUGCGUGUCCCCAGUCCUGUCCGGCCCUGGUGCGUGUCCCCAGUCCUGUCCGGCCCGUCCCUGUUCCCCGCACCAAGCCCACGGUGCGUGUCCACAGUCCUGUCCGGCCCGUCCCUGUUCCUCGCACCAAGCCCACGGUGCGUGUCCACAGUCCUGUCCGGCCCGUUCCUGUUCCCCGCACCAAGCCCACGGUGCGUGUCCACAGUCCGGCACGGCCCGUGUCUGGUCCACCGGUGCCCAAUCAUGUUCCGGUCGACGGCUCCGCUCCGGAGCCUGAGCAUGCCGCUCCACAGUGGUCCAGUCCGGGCCAGAGGGGUAGGGCUAGGGUGGAGGCAGGGGGAGAAACACGCCCGGGGCCAGAGCCUCCACCGAGGGUGAGGCGCCCACCCGGGUCCCCCCCCUAAUAGACUUUAGUUUGGUGCGCCGGGAGUACGCACCGUUGGAGGGGGGGGUACUGUCACGCCCUGACCAGGUGAACUCUGCUAUUUUGGUCAGGGUGUGGCAUUUCUAUGCUUUAUUUUCUAUGUUUUGGUUAUAGCCUUUCUUUGUGUUUUAUUUCUAUGUUGGGCUCGGGGGUGAUUUCCCAAUCAGACAGCUGUCGCUUGUGAAGUCUGAUUGGGAAUCACAUUUAAGUUCCUUUUCCCCCACGAUGUUUGUGGGUUGUUGUCUCGUUAUUUGAGCACGUAACGUAUUGGCAGUUUUUCCUUGAUUUUGUG